AUUGAACGCUGGCGGCAGGCCUAACACAUGCAAGUCGAACGAGUGGCGGACGGGUGAGUAAUGUCUUGGAAACUGCCUGAUGGAGGGGGAUAACUACUGGAAACGGUAGCUAAUACCGCAAAACGUCGGAUGUGCCCAGAUGGGAUUAGCUAGUAGGGGGGGUAAAGGCUCACCUAGGCGACGAUCCCUAGCUGGGCUGAGAGGAUGACCAGCCACACUGGAACUGAGACACGGUCCAGACUCCUACGGGAGGCAGCAGUGGGGAAUAUUGCACAAUGGGCGCAAGCCUGAUGCAGCCAUGCCGCGUGUAUGAAGAAGGCCUUCGGGUCGUAAAGCACUGUCAGCGGGGAGGCGUUACCCGCAGAAGAAGCCCCGGCUAACUCCGUGCCAGCAGCCGCGGUAAUUC
rnacentral:rRNA from 1 species